UACAGAGGGUGCGAGCGUUAAUCGGAAUUACUGGGCGUAAAGCGUGCGUAGACGGUUAUUUAAGUCGGGUGUGAAAGCCCCGGGCUCAACCUGGGAAUUGCAUUCGAGACUGAAUAGCUAGGGUACGGUAGAGGGAAGUGGAAUUUCCGGUGUAGCGGUGAAAUGCGUAGAUAUCGGAAGGAACAUCAGUGGCGAAAGCGACUUCCUGGACCAGUACCGACGUUCAGGCACGAAAGCGUGGGGAGCAAACAGGAUUGAGAUACCC
rnacentral:rRNA from 1 species